rnacentral:misc_RNA from 1 species
GCGAUAUGCGAGGACAGAUGAAAUUGGUGUUCCCUUUGCCAUUACUGUUGAUGAAGAUGAUAGUGUGACGAUCCGUGAGAGAGACAGUAAGAACCAAGCUAGGGUGCCCACUGACGAGGUGGCUUCAGUGAUCAAAGAGGUCACUGACGGCCAAAUUACUUGGGGUGACAUUAUGUGGAGAUACCCUCCCCAUAAUGCUACACAUGCAGAUGAGAAAGCUGAAGAGUGAAAGCAUCACACUCUUCAUUAUAAGUGAGACGCUUAGACUGGUAAGAAGUUUUUUUUUCCGACUAGUAGACUGGUAAGACGUAAUAGAUUUAAGGUGAAAUUACUUGCAAUGUUAUAUACUUGGAGAGGUAAAUGUUUUAACCACUUGAGAUAUUUGUCUGUAUGAUUACUUGGAAUGUGC